GACAUGCAUGGAGAUUUAAGCCCCCUUUACAGGACAGCUUAUGAUCAUAAGUUUUGCUGCUUCGAUUUUUGAAGUCGGCUGUGGGGCAAUUGGCACAGAUGUUUGCGAGGGAAUGUCAUUUUGCAUCAGUGGAGGGGCAGUUUGAUAAAGCAGCGCGGCCACAGUGACAUGAAAGCCCAACUGGGUUCAACAACAACCGUCAUCUCUGCUCUGCUUUUCUGUAGCUAAAUGCCAGUGACAGGAACAGAAUUUCACUGUGGUAACUGAUCAGGUGCCAAGCGCCCUCUCCCCAGUGCCCUGCUGCACCGAAGCCCUCUGUGGAGCUGGCAUUGCCUGGCUUGGCCUGGCAGCCGCGCGGGGGCCCUGCUUUGUAUCUCUGCCCCGUCCACUCAAGCUGUCUUCCAAAAUCCGACUCGACAACUAUGAACUGCCCCGUCUCCCAAGACCAAGCAGAGCAUUCAGACUGGGGUAGUAUGUUGGCUGAAUCGAAUGCAAAGCAGAACAAAGCCACGCCUCCUCCGACAGCCGCUGCCGUGACGUCAGCCGGCGAGGAACCUUUGGUACACGCCCUCCGAUGCCAUGGAUACACGUCCGGUCAGGAGCCGCGAGAGGGCGCUGUGCCGUAAAGA